CUUGUUGUAUUUCAGAAAUCAUAACAGCCUGUCUUUUUUAGCACAGCGGCAUUCAAAUUGACCAAUCAGAGCCGAGAAUAUCUAAUAAGUCGAAGUAGAGAUGAACAGAUGAAGAUACAGCCCGUAAAAAUACUUAUUCUUGGUGAGUGCCAUGUAGCGACGGAUCAAACGGACACUCAUGUCAAGCUUGAUGAGGACACAGUCAAAGCUUUAAAAGACCUUGUGAUUAAGUCUUCAGUGUCUGAAUGGCAAGAAGAAGUGACCCUCCACUUAAACGUGACAUUUAAACUUCUCUGUGUUUUGGUUCAGCCAUUUGUAGGUUUAUCUCGAGUAAGUUCAAAUGCACUUCUGCAUUUGUCCAGUAACUUUUUGUUUAGAGAAUUACAUCAUUAUGAUUAUAUAAUUAUUCAAUGGUUGCAUAUUCAUAGUGUACUUUUCAUAUUGAUGUAUUAAUGUUCCACAAUUUGAUAAAAGUAGCUCAUUGCAUUUCACUGAUCUUUGUUUUAUAUUGUAAAGUCAUUUCAAAAGCAGUAAAUACAUACUUAGUUGUUUCUUUAACAUUUAGUUGUUAAUGAUGGAAGAAACCGGUUCGUAUGUAUGAAUACAGAAUAGGUAUCAUUUUAGAAUGAGUUAAAACAUGUUUUGGUGGCAAACAUGCAGGUAAAAUAGUACAUGUAUAACAUUCUAAUAGUAAACUUGACUGUAAUUCAAAUGUCACAUACAGUACAUUAGAAAUGAUUUAUUUUAUGUAUACAAAUGUGUGGGCAAUAUAUUAUUAUUUCAUUUUGUAUGCUAUAUUAUUUAUGUAAUAUUAUUAUAUCUGAAAUUAUUAAAUUACAUUUAUAAAUGUUUAAAAGGUGGGUUCAAAUGUGCUUCAAGUUGUA